rnacentral:lncRNA from 1 species
UGGAGCAUCUGAAAAGAAGUUGAUAUGGGUCACAAACAAACAGUUGCUACUCCAUGGGUCUGCGAGACAGAUUACGAGACAACGAGGUGCUGUCUCACAACUCGUCUCUUAUUUAUGAGCAAGAAUACCAUGCCUACGGAUCAGCGGAUGACAUGGCAUCGUCCUAGAUUAAGAGACAACGAGGUGCUGUCUCACAAAUCGCAACAUUAUUUAUGGGUAAAAUUCCCAUGCCAACGGACCAGAGUAUGCACAUCAUCUUCGCCCUGCCUGCCUCACAGCUUCGAGAGCGCAAUGUCC